GACUUGGUCGAAGCUCCUCAGGCUUACUUGAACCUCUGAGAUGUUUGGAACAAGUACA
ensembl:miRNA gmo-mir-7132b gmo-mir-7132b